rnacentral:lncRNA from 1 species
CCACGUGAAUUCAUGGUUGCACUACUUUUUAUUAAUUUUGUACGCUCUUCUGAAUGCUAUCCAUUGAUGUAGUUUGAACUGAAGAGUCAGUUUGCUUACAUUUGUAUAUUGAUAUCUUCCUUGCCAAUUGCCAUGCUUAUAGCUGGUUGGUAUGAAUCGAUCCUGAAUCUACCAAACAACAAGUUGUGACUUUUUCUUAGCUCUCUGCAGCUGUUCCUUCGAUGUCUGACUACACAGGGAGUUGCAUUAGCAAUGAUUUCUACUUACCGUUUCAUUCAAUCUUUAAUCUACCUUCAUGUUGUAAAGUAUCUCUGCAAUCAUAGUGCUCUCAUUGGACUACAAUCCCUUGCCUUGCAAGAAAUGUCUGCGUCUUCCACAUGGGCUCAUUUAAGAUUUGCCAUGUGAUUUUAAUAAAUUGGUUCCCUUUUAUGUGGGGAGAUCUGGUAGUAAGUUGAAUCUUAAUGUACCCACGCAGCUCUAUAAAUUAAAUUAUAUGCUUACGGGAGUUAUCUUGCAUCAGGCAUUACAAGAAGCCCUUGUUAUGAUGGCACAAAGGAUGCUUUACUUUAUCUCUUGCGCCCAUCUUUUGUCUGAUUUCAUUUGCAUGAUGAUAUAAAUGCAGGUUCAUGGAGUGAAUCUGGCAGGCCCACUAGCAGGAUAUGACAGUCAUAUGUAAGGUGAGAGUUUAAAGGUUGAAUAUUCCAUACUGGGUUAUUUUUGGGUAUGCGCUUUCCAUUCAUAGUUUUGAGUUUGAAAUUUGUUGAGGAUUUAAAUUGUGAAUGGAUAGCUCAACUAAAGUAUGCGAAACCCCAUUCAGUUUGAGGCAAUAAAUAAGCUCUCAUUUCAGCAAAUUUGCUUGCCUUGGUAUGUUAAUGCCUCUAGAUUUUAAUCAGCUUGUUCUUGAGCUGUAAUUUUAGAAACUAUUUUUUUUUUUUGCAUUUUUGUUUUUAUAUCCUAGAACCAUUGAAGCCAUAAGUGUCUUGACAUAUAUUUUGGCCAUAUGUAAAAUUCCUCCAAGCUUCUAGAAUACUAUAUUUCUUUUUAGCUUGGAAUAGGUUCAAAUCAUGUACCUAUUGCUAUGUCUUUGCACUAAUAGCUGCUAUCGUCGGUGCUAUAUUUGACCGUCUUUGUAUGUUUGAAAUUAGGAGACCUAAAACAUUUUUAGCUUACCAUGGCUACUCUAAUCAGUCAUAAGGGUUACUGCCUACUUUUAUUUUUUAUGUCCAGAAACAGAUUGCUUUAGCUUAGGCAUUGAAAUAAUUAGUGAAGUUGUUACGCGCAUAAUACUGACAGCCUAUGGUUUGAAUGUAUUAGUGCCCAUCGACGGUCCAGGUAACCCACCAACCGACAAGGCAAAAUCAGUUCCAACACAUGAAUUUUGCACCAAGUCUUACUUGUUUUUGUAGUAUCCAGGUUGAUUGGAAUAAAUUGAUUGCAGCCAACUAACAUAAAGAGGGUUCAGUUCUUCAUUGGGGGUAAAUCCCUUCUUCAAAAUUGCCUAUUGUGUGGUGUAACUGCUGUUGGAUUAAUUACGCCCAUGGCAAGGGUAUGCCUGACAUAUUUUAACUGGAAAUUGCUACUGUGUAGUGGGAACAAAUGAGCUUUAAUCAAAUUAAAUUAUUCUCUUGCAAUUUUGAUGAGAACAAAUAAGCAGCCAUCAGAGGGAGCCUUCUAGUAAAACAUAUCUACUUCCAAGCUGCACACCAUUUUUUCAGACUAUAGACCGUGUUUUCAUUGCACUCACGUAUUUUAUACUUUCUGGUGUGCAUUGCAAUCCCGCCCCUUCGUAUAGCUAGCUGGUAUUGAUGUAAUCUGUGUUGAUAAUAACGUUCCAGUUUUUUGCUUAUUGGUUGACUCUUGGCAGUUUCUUUUUUCUUUUUUGCAGAAAUGGAUGGUUCUUCCAGCUUCAUGACAUCCAGUAUCUACAUAUGUGCCCAAGGUUGGAAAAAACGCAAGCCAAGCAGGCUGUUGGCCUUUGCGACAGUUUUUAUUAUCAGAGUGUAUGUAUGGUUAUUCUGUGUGUAUUGAUAUUAAUUUAGGGCAUAUAAUUAAGUGAACUAUCAUCUACUACCAUUUGACAUAUCAAUGCAAUAUGUCAUGCUUGAUCGUGUAGGCAAUUUCUUAUUUGCCCUGCCUAGACUUUCACUCAAGGCGAGGCGUUCAGCCAUUACUUAGCACCUAAGCGUGCCUAAGUGGCUUGUAAGCACUGUUUUUUCCAACAAUGUAUGCGCCUGGCUUGUAAGCACUGUUUUUUCCAACAAUGUAUGCGCCUAUUUUUUCUAUCGUAGACCUGAGACAACCGUUUCCACCAAGAUCCAGCAAGAAGUGGAAUGAAUGGGCUGUGACCAAUAUCGAAACCUACUCGUAAAAAUCUAAAGAACACGAUCAAUAAAUCAGUUUAUACUGACACCGACGAUAAAAAUGAAGAACACGAUAAUCAGAUUAUAC